GUGCGGCAUAUUUUCAACAUUAAUAUGCCUGGAACUUUUGAGAGUUUUAACUUACACUAAUAUUCUGUCCUACGUUAAUUUUACGCUUACCUCGACCUAAAGGUUUUCUGUUAGAGAUAACUUUGUCCUGGUAAAAUAUGUCCAGGCAGACAUACAUUACUAGUAGAAACAGUCCCUAGCGUGUUUAAAUGUUCUUGUAUGCCUGGGUUUCCAAUAAAAAUGAUACAAGACUUGAAACAAAAUUGUCACGUAUUUUUUAUCGCAUUUAUAAAUGAUUUGUAUGGAAAAACUUGGCGAUUUUGCUGCCAAAUAUUCUCCACUUUACAGACCUUUGGUUCAUGUCAGACAUAAAUAAUAUAUCAAAUGCUUGUUGAAGGCAUCGUUAACAUAAUCAUCCUGAUCCACCGAUCACCAAAGGCCAUUCCUACAUAGGAUACAACGUCCGUUUACAAAAUAUUUUGUACACACGUUGAUAAUUUUGUAUUGGACGAACUUUUUUUUAAUGAACCCUACUCUUCAAGUAUAAAGAC
rnacentral:lncRNA from 1 species